GACUGUCCUCGCGCCGCGGCUUUGGCCGCUCGCGGGGCGGGGCACCGCCGCGCAUGCGCUCCAGGAGCAUCGACUUCGUCCCAGACACCGGGAGGCCCCGCAGGCGCAGCUGCUGUCGGAGCUCUGAGACCUGAGGUCUCCUUCCACUCCGACCCUCACCUCGUUCCAUCAGCGAGUUGAGAAGGGACGCAUUGGAGAAGAAGAACAAGUAGCCGAAUGUCUGAGACACAAGAUCUGGGUGCAGCUCGCACUGGCUGGUCAGUUCCAGGGCUGCCUGGAACACCCCCAGGUAUCUCCUUCCCUGGGACCUGGCUGGGACCGUACUUUCCGGCAUAUGGAAGAUUAACACGACCCACGGAAUUCUGGGAGUUGUAGUUUUGUCGCCCUUCAACCUGAGGAUGCGGCAUAGGACUCUCCCGGUAGAAGAGGAUGUGCCUACCUGGGCGUCUUGGUAGCCUUGCAGUAGCAGGAAGUAGGGGCGGUUGCUGGGGGCCUGGAUGAGGCACUGGGUCAAUUGGUCAAAGUCGCCGGGGUCUACUGGUCCGAUUUGGGCGUCGGCUGCGCCUGGGGCCAUGCUAAGGGCCUGCUGCCUGCGCUCCUGCUGCCGCCUCCGCCGACCCUGCAGACUGAGCUCCGAUACGCUGCGCCGCAGGGACAGGUUUUCUGAGCGCUCCUUGCCCCCGGACCCAGCCGGGGGCCCUGACCCGGACCCCGGGCUAGGGCUGGCCAGAGCCGCCCCACCAGACGCCGCCCGGGAGCGGUUCUUCUGUGGCCGCCACGAGGGGGCGCCGGUGCCUGCGGAGAGAGACGGGGAGUGAUGGAUGAGACUGAGACAGAGGAGGCUCAGCUGGAGAUGAUAGCCAACUGGAUGUGAGGAUGCUUCCCACAUUUCGUUUUUUUACAUAUGCUGUUCCCUGCGCCUGGAACAUACUUCUUGCCUGACUCUUACCCAUCUUGCAGUUUCAGCUCAUAAAUUCAUUCAUUCUUCCAA